rnacentral:rRNA from 1 species
GACGAACGCUGGCGGCGUGCUUAACACAUGCAAGUCGAACGAGACGAUUGGAAGCUUGCUUUUAAAAGUCGAGUGGCAAACGGGUGAGUAACGCGUAGACAACCUGCCUUUGAGAUGGGGACAACAGUUCGAAAGGACUGCUAUUACCGAAUGUUGUAUAUUUUCCACAUGGAAGAUAUAUUAAAGAUGGCCUCUAUUUAUAAGCUAUCGCUCAAAGAUGGGUCUGGGUCUGAUUAGCUGGUUGGUGGGGUAACGGCCUACCAAGGCGACGAUCAGUAGCCGGUCUGAGAGGAUAAACGGCCACAUUGGGACUGAGACACGGCCCAGACUCCUACGGGAGGCAGCAGUGGGGAAUCUUCCACAACGGACGAAAGUCUGAUGGAGCAACGCCGCGUGAGUGAAGAAGGGUUUCGGCUCGUAAAGCUCUGUUGUCGGGGACGAAUGUGCAGUAUUUGAAUAAAGUACUGUAAUGACGGUACCUGACGAGGAAGCCACGGCUAACUACGUGCCAGCCGCCGCCGUAA